CUGGCACAGAAGGAGCUUGGAAGUCAUCUGUCCACACUAAAAACAAGUAAGAAAGCUGAAGAAACUGAAACAUCAACCACUCUCCUCAGAUCUGUCAGAGAAGUGAGGUCACGGGGCAAACCAGCGAACCAAAACUUGGAGAGACAGACGGGUGAAUACAGAGGAUAACGACGUGCCAGAGCAGAACCCCGUGAGCAGAAACCUCCGCAGGAACUAGUUCUGGAUUUUCAGAAUGAAUUUGACCACUGGAGCAGAGGCCCCUGUUUCUGAGUAUCCAGCCUCGUUGUGCGCUCCGGAAAGCAGAGCCUUGGGUGACCCCAGCAUUUUUAAUGGAUGCACGUUUCCCUGUGUUACUCAAUCAAGAGUCACACACCCUUCCUCAGCCUCACUCCCACACAGACAGAGGUGAGCCCCACCCAUCUUAUCUGUGCACUAUGUCCCCACUGCCUGACCACAGCUAAUCAGACCCAGGAUGAGCAUCUUGCACAACUGGGACAAUCC
rnacentral:lncRNA from 1 species